GAUGAACGCUGGCGGCGUGCCUAAUACAUGCAAGUCGAGCGAACAGAUGAGGAGCUUGCUCCUCUGACGUUAGCGGCGGACGGGUGAGUAACACGUGGAUAACCUACCUAUAAGACUGGGAUAACUUCGGGAAACCGGAGCUAAUACCGGAUAAUAUAUUGAACCGCAUGGUUCAAUAGUGAAAGACGGUUUUGCUGUCACUUAUAGAUGGAUCCGCGCCGCAUUAGCUAGUUGGUAAGGUAACGGCUUACCAAGGCGACGAUGCGUAGCCGACCUGAGAGGGUGAACGGCCACACUGGAACUGAGACACGGUCCAGACUCCUACGGGAGGCAGCAGUAGGGAAUCUUCCGCAAUGGGCGAAAGCCUGACGGAGCAACGCCGCGUGAGUGAUGAAGGUCUUCGGAUCGUAAAACUCUGUUAUUAGGGAAGAACAAAUGUGUAAGUAACUAUGCACGUCUUGACGGUACCUAAUCAGAAAGCCACGGCUAACUACGUG
rnacentral:rRNA from 1 species